UCCUGGCUCAGGAUGAACGCUGGCGGCGUGCUUAACACAUGCAAGUCGAACGGAGUUAAGAAGGAAGCUUGCUUCAUUUAAACUAGUGGCGGACGGGCGAGUAACGCGUGAGGAACCUGCCUUCAGUGGGGAACAACAACUAGAAAUGGUUGCUAAUACCGCAUAAUGUCGGAGUACCGCAUGACAUUCCGACCAAAGGAUUUAUUCGCUGAAGGAUGGCCUCGCGUCCGAUUAGAUAGUUGGUGAGGUAACGGCCCACCAAGUCUACGAUCGGUAGCCGAACUGAGAGGUUGAUCGGCCACAUUGGGACUGAGACACGGCCCAGACUCCUACGGGAGGCAGCAGUGGGGAAUAUUGGGCAAUGGGCGAAAGCCCUGACCCAGCAACGCCGCGUGAAGGAUGACGGUCUUCGGAUUGUAAACUUCUUUAAUUGGGGAAGAACAAAAUGACCUACCCAAAGAAUAAGUCACGGCUAACUACGUGCCAGCCGCUGC
rnacentral:rRNA from 1 species